CUUUGUCAGCAACUGGAAAACUUACAGAAAACUAACUGUGAAAUGGCUCAGAAUUACGAAACUCAGCUUUGUGCGCUUAAAUCUCAAAACAUAGAGGCAAGCUUUUCGGAGAUGAGAAAUGAGCUGCAAUCACGGGAUGCUCUCUGGAGAAAGAUACAACUGGAAUGCCAACAGUUGCGUGCAGAACUACUGAAAAUCAGAGAGCAUAAGGACAUGCACGAAAUGCAUCAAUCAUCCUCUGUACAACUUACUGAGCAAUCAGAAAAUAAAAAUGCUGAUUUAUUACUACAGGCACAGAGUCAAAACAGCCAACGAGAAGUGCUAAGCAAGGUACUUCAUGCUAUUAAGUGUUUCUAGAUCUUACACUGCAAUUUUGGAUUUUGAAAAGAGAGUGCGAAGUAUUGGCCUUGGUCAUGUGAAGAGGGGAGAUGGAGGAUAAACUAUAGUUUUGGAGAAUAUGGAGUUUUCAUAUAUGAAAAAAGUUUUCAUACAUGGUUAUUGUAUAGUUGUGCA
rnacentral:lncRNA from 1 species